AAAUGAGUAACAUCAGGGUAUAAAAUGCUAGCUGGAAGAGUAUUCGCAACCAUAUACAAUGAAGAGUCACACUUCCAAGAAGAAAGCCGAUGUCCCACUUCAGCAUCAAAUCUAAGACACUGCAUUUCACUUUUUCUGUACAAAUAUCAUAAUCUGUUUGUUAAUCUCUUGGUUUUAUUUCAAAAAUGAAACUAUAUUUAGAGAGGAAACAAAUUCUACCAGUUGCUGUUGGAAGCAAAAGAUCUUUUUCAUUCUUGGAUGCUUUAUAUUUGGACAGAGAAAGAAUCAGAAUCCAUCCUUCUUUUUCCUAACUGGAAUUUGAGAGACAUGAGAAGGGAACUAAACACACAGGCUUCAGGAUCUGGUGGAAAGAGAUAAGGUGUCUCAACGAAUGUUGGCCUCAUCAAGAGAUGCUACUCCUGAUCUUUUCAUUUUACUUUCCUCGGGUCUGCCCAAACUCAGUGUCUCUCCUAGGGAAAACCACCCAACUCAUGAAAAACUGUUUGUAAGCAAAUGUUCUCAACACAAAGAAAUAAUAAAGGUUUGAGAUGAUAAA
rnacentral:lncRNA from 1 species